AUUGAACGCUGGCGGCAUGCCUUACACAUGCAAGUCGAACGGUAACGCGGGGCAACCUGGCGACGAGUGGCGAACGGGUGAGUAAUACAUCGGAACGUGCCCAGUAGUGGGGGAUAGCCCGGCGAAAGCCGGAUUAAUACCGCAUACGACCUACGGGUGAAAGCGGGGGAUCGCAAGACCUCGCGCUAUUGGAGCGGCCGAUGUCAGAUUAGCCAGUUGGUGGGGUAAAGGCCUACCAAGGCGACGAUCUGUAGCUGGUCUGAGAGGACGACCAGCCACACUGGGACUGAGACACGGCCCAGACUCCUACGGGAGGCAGCAGUGGGGAAUUUUGGACAAUGGGGGCAACCCUGAUCCAGUCAUGCCGCGUGCGGGAAGAAGGCCUUCGGGUUGUAAACCGCUUUUGUCGGGGAAGAAACGGUCUGCGCUAAUACCGCGGGCUAAUGACGGUACCCGAAGAAUAAGCACCGGCUAACUACGUGCCAGCCGCCGCCGUAAGAC
rnacentral:rRNA from 1 species